rnacentral:tRNA from 1 species
GAAUCAAGUCAACCCAUAAUAAAGCUUCUAACUUUACUUUAAAGCAGUGAAAUUCUGUUUUUGAUUCU